CCGGGAAGAGCUCAAAUUUGAAAUCUGGCGUCCUCAGGGCGUCCGAGUUGUAAUCUAUAGAGGCGUUUUCCGUGCCGGACCGUGUCCAAGUUCCUUGGAACAGGAUAUCAAAGAGGGUGACAAUCCCGUACUUGACACGAUGACCGGUGCUCUGUGAUACGUCUUCUACGAGUCGAGUUGUUUGGGAAUGCAGCUCAAAAUGGGUGGUGAGUUCCAUCUAAAGCUAAAUAUUGGCGAGAGACCGAUAGCGAACAAGUACCGUGAGGGAAAGAUGAAAAGCACUUUGGAAAGAGAGUUAAACAGUACGUGAAAUUGUUGAAAGGGAAACGAUUGAAGUCAGUCGUGACUGANAGGCUCAGCCGGUUCUGCCGGUGUAUUCCCCUCAGUCGGGUCAACAUCAGUUUUGUCCGGUGGAAAAGGGCGGUAGGAACGUGGCACCUCCGGGUGUGUUAUAGCCUGCCGUCGCAUACAUCGGGUGAGACUGAGGAAUGCAGCUCGCCUUUAUGGCCGGGGUUCGCCCACGUCCGAGCUUAGGAUGUUGACAUAAUGGCUUUAAACGACCCGUCUU
rnacentral:rRNA from 1 species